GACGAACCGUGCGAACGUUGUUCGGAAUCACUGGGCUUAAAGGGCGCGUAGGCGGGCUGUCAAGUCUGGGGUGAAAUGCUGCGGCUCAACCGUAGAACUGCCUUAGAUACUGACGGCCUCGAGGAAGGUAGGGGCAUGCGGAACUGUAGGUGGAGCGGUGAAAUGCGUAGAUAUCGGAAGGAACAUCAGUGGCGAAAGCGACUUCCUGGACCAAUACUGACGCUCAUGUGCGAAAGCGUGGGGAGCAAACAGG
rnacentral:rRNA from 1 species